AACAGAGCUGUUGAAUAGUGUUACUGCACCGCAGAUUCUUUGGUACAGAGAUCGGCCUGUUUUGCCUAGUCUCCUAGGGACAACUUGUAACAGAAGGGCUUUUAACAUGAGAAAACAUAGCGAUAUGUUAUUACCAAUCCCCAAACUCACACCAGAAAGAGAAUGGCCAUUUGCAUGUGUUAACAGUAUUAAAAAUUGUUCGUGACCAUUUCAGCGAAACUCAUGACACCGAAUAUACGAUGGCCUGCAACUUCAAAGGCUCCAAAGCUUCUCCAAGGGAUUCGUGGUCCAGUCUCGUCCUUCACCUCCACCAGUUUUGCCACACAAGCCACAUAGGGUAGAGUCCUAAAAGAGGUGGACACAGCACGAGAGAUACACAGGGUGUCCAGGCAUUGGGUGCACAUCAGGCUGAAAGGAUGAAGCAGAGUCUGGAACAGGUUCUUGAACAAACAAUAGUGGAGUUCCGGGGAGCUGAACUGCUACUAAGCACUGAGGAGAAGCUGAGAGGCAGGAUGGCGCUGGUGGACCCACCUCGUUUUCUGUCUACAGACAAAGGCUGGAACAGAGGAGACAGAACCUCUCAUUCAUCCCUGACUUAAUCAUGGGGGAGUUAACAGUUUGUUUUUGAAUAAUGGAACAAAGGCAAGAACUGUGCAUAUGAAGAUUUGAUGUCAGUCAGUCUCAAAUCACCAAAACCAGGAGAAAUUAUUUAUGUUGCUGCUUUGCAGAAUUCAAUCAUUUUGGAAGUCCAAGAGAUGCCCCCCCCCAAAUAAACUAUGGCCAAUGUCCUUGGUUACCUAUCAGAACCUGAAGGAUCAAAACUAUGCAUUGCUAAGAACAGAAACUGUUUAAUGAGGAAACAACACGAAAAAUUGAUGAUAUUGGCAGCUUUGUACAAGUUGGAGACCUGAUAUGAAACAAAUGUUGAAGUGGAACGUCUUGGGGAGGAGGCUCUUGGUCAUUACAAAGUGGCUGGCAGCAGAUGUUCUGAGAAUCCCCAAGCCUCCUCUGACCCUCCUACUUUCCUGGCACUGGAACAUGGAACUCACAGCUGAUAGCAUCAUGAAGACAGAAGACAUUUUAGGAAGGGGCCAAGGACAAAAUAAUUUUCUACAAGCAUGCCCACAAGUGACCCAUUUCCUUCAGGUGAGGGUGUGGAAGCCAGAGGACAACGUGAUGGGGUAGGUUUCUCUCCUUCCACCACGUAGGUCCCUUGUCUGAUACCCCGGUCCUCCAGCUUGGCACCAGAGAGGUUACUGAUCUCCCAGGAGAAAGACUUGCCAUUUCUCUCUGGUAAUUUGGGCUCAAAGAUAACUCCUACCAUGCAAGAGUAUUAUUUUUUGAAUUCCUUAAGAAAUAUCAAGGUUCCCGUGUCCUGCUGUUUCCCUGACUUUACAGCUCUCCACCCCCCUGUGGACCCUUUUUAGUUUGUUGGUUUCUGCUGUUGCUCCAGCUUACAGACUAACAUCUCCAAGAUCUCCCUAUGCAGAUCAAGCAGACCUGGAAUUCACAAGAGAUCUGCCUGACUCUCUCUCACCAGUGCUGAGAUUAAAGGCAUGUAUCCCAUGCUCAGCAUAUAUAUAUUUGUUAUUUUUAUUAUAUAUAUACAUAUAUAUAUCAGAA